AGAGGUUCCUUUUGGCUCAGGAUGAACGCUAGCUACAGGCUUAACACAUGCAAGUCGAGGGGCAGCAUGAACUUAGCUUGCUAAGUUUGAUGGCGACCGGCGCACGGGUGAGUAACACGUAUCCAACCUGCCGAUGACUCGGGGAUAGCCUUUCGAAAGAAAGAUUAAUACCCGAUGGCAUAGUUCUUCCGCAUGGUAGAACUAUUAAAGAAUUUCGGUCAUCGAUGGGGAUGCGUUCCAUUAGGUUGUUGGCGGGGUAACGGCCCACCAAGCCUUCGAUGGAUAGGGGUUCUGAGAGGAAGGUCCCCCACAUUGGAACUGAGACACGGUCCAAACUCCUACGGGAGGCAGCAGUGAGGAAUAUUGGUCAAUGGACGAGAGUCUGAACCAGCCAAGUAGCGUGAAGGAUGACUGCCCUAUGGGUUGUAAACUUCUUUUAUACGGGAAUAAAGUGAGGCACGUGUGCCUUUUUGUAUGUACCGUAUGAAUAAGGAUCGGCUAACUCCGUGCCAGCAGCCGCGGUAAUACGGAGGAUCCGAGCGUUAUCCGGAUUUAUUGGGUUUAAAGGGAGCGUAGGCGGACGCUUAAGUCAGUUGUGAAAGUUUGCGGCUCAACCGUAAAAUUGCAGUUGAUACUGGGUGUCUUGAGUACAGUAGAGGCAGGCGGAAUUCGUGGUGUAGCGGUGAAAUGCUUAGAUAUCACGAAGAACUCCGAUUGCGAAGGCAGCCUGCUGGACUGUAACUGACGCUGAUGCUCGAAAGUGUGGGUAUCAAAGAGGAUUAGAUACCCUGGUAGUCCACACA
rnacentral:rRNA from 1 species